AAGCUCGUAGUUGAAUUUCGGGGUCAGUAGGUCGGUCAUGCCACAGGUAUGUACUGGUCUCACUGAUUCCUCCUUCCUGAUGAACCGUAAUGCCAUUAAUUUGGUGUUGCGGGGAGACUGGACUGUUACUUUGAAAAAAUUAGAGUGUCUAAAGCAGGCUAACGCUUGAAUACAUUAGCAUGGAAUAACGGAAUAGGACGUUUGAUUCUAUUUUGUUGGUUUCUAGGAUCGACGUAAUGAUUAAUAGGGAUAGUUGGG
rnacentral:rRNA from 1 species